rnacentral:rRNA from 1 species
GACGAACGCUGGCGGCGUGCCUAACACAUGCAAGUCGAGCGAAUGAAGUUCCUUCGGGAAUGGAUUUAGCGGCGGACGGGUGAGUAACACGUGGGCAACCUGCCUCAUAGAGGGGAAUAGCCUCCCGAAAGGGAGAUUAAUACCGCAUAAGAUUGUAGUACCGCAUGAUACAGCAAUUAAAGGAGCAAUCCGCUAUGAGAUGGGCCCGCGGCGCAUUAGCUAGUUGGUGAGGUAAUGGCUCACCAAGGCGACGAUGCGUAGCCGACCUGAGAGGGUGAUCGGCCACAUUGGGACUGAGACACGGCCCAGACUCCUACGGGAGGCAGCAGUGGGGAAUAUUGCACAAUGGGGGAAACCCUGAUGCAGCAACGCCGCGUGAGUGAUGACGGCCUUCGGGUUGUAAAGCUCUGUUUUCAGGGACGAUAAUGACGGUACCUGAGGAGGAAGCCACGGCUAACUACGUG